AAAGUCGUAACAAGGUUUCCGUAGGUGAACCUGCGGAAGGAUCAUUAUAAAAUGCUUAAAAGCAUCCACCUUUUGUGCACUUGAUAAACCGUCCCUUUGGUGGGCUUCGAACAACUGUAUACCUCUUGUUCGACUUUGCGUCUGAGCCGGCUUUGUGAACAUAACUUUGUGCUCGCAAUGUCCCGUUUGGGUGCUAAGCGGCUCGCCAAAGGAUUUCAUAAACAUACCUUUCAACCUUUGCCUAAUUUACUUAUUCCUUUGUGAAUAAAAAAUUCUAAUUGAAUACAACUUUUAACAACGGAUCUCUUGGCUCUC
rnacentral:misc_RNA from 1 species